rnacentral:rRNA from 1 species
CCUACGGGGCGCAGCAGUGAGGAAUAUUGGUCAAUGGUCGGGAGACUGAACCAGCCAAGCCGCGUGAGGGAGGAAGGUACAGAGUAUCGUAAACCUCUUUUGUCAGGGAACAAAGACUGGGACGCGUCCCCGGAUGAGUGUACCUGAAGAAAAAGCAUCGGCUAACUACGUGCCAGCAGCCGCGGUAAUACGUAGGGGGCAAGCGUUAUCCGGAUUCAUUGGGCGUAAAGCGCGCACAGGCGGGGUGGUAAGCGGGACCCCUAAUCUCAGGGCUCAACC